UACAGAGGGUGCGAGCGUUGUCCGGAAUCACUGGGCGUAAAGGGCGCGUAGGUGGUGGCUUAAGCGUGCGGUGAAAGCUCGGGGCUCAACUCCGAGUCGGCCGUGCGAACUGGGCUCACUGGAGCAUAGUAGAGGCAGGUGGAAUUCCGGGUGUAGCGGUGGAAUGCGUAGAGAUCGAUGGAAGACACCGGUGGCGAAGG
rnacentral:rRNA from 1 species